rnacentral:lncRNA from 1 species
CCUGCCGCGCCCCAACGGCUGCCGCGCACCGCGCAUGCGUGGGGCUGCCCGCCCCCCCCCGCUGGGGCACCAUGGGAGCGCCCGGGGCAUCAUGGGAGCAUCCAGAGCAUCAUGGGAGCGCCCGGGGCAUCAUGGGAGUGCCUGGAGCAUCAUGGGAGUACCCAGGGCAUCAUGGGAGUGACAUGGGGCCUCAUGGGAGCACCCAGGGCAUCAUGGGAGUGAGGUGGGGCAUCAUGGGAUGCUCCCACUUGGCAUGCCCCACCCUGGGGCUGAUGGGAGCUGCUGCCCCAGAGGCUCAUGGGAGCCGCUGCCCCGCAGGUGAUGCCGCGCGGAUGGAGGCCCCCUGCGGGGACCAGGCUGAGCCGAUGACCCCCGACCCCAGGGCGCCCGGACGCCUGGACCCCCCCGCGGCCACGCCCCCAGGGGAGCCGGCCCCCAAGCAGGCCGUGUCGGAGGCGCUGGCGGCCGCCCGGCUCCGGGCCCUCGGCCUCCACCA